rnacentral:rRNA from 1 species
GAUGAACGCUGACAGAAUGCUUAACACAUGCAAGUCGACUUGAAGCAACUUCGGUUGUGGAAAGUGGCGGACGGGUGAGUAACGCGUAAAGAACUUGCCCUUCAGUCUGGGACAACCAUUGGAAACGAUGGCUAAUACCGGAUAUUAUGGAACUCUCGCAUGGGAGGAUCAUGAAAGCUAUAUGCGCUGAAGGAGAGCUUUGCGUUCCAUUAGCUAGUUGGUGAGGUAACGGCUCACCAAGGCGACGAUGGAUAGCCGGCCUGAGAGGGUGAUCGGCCACAAGGGGACUGAGACACGGCCCUUACUCCUACGGGAGGCAGCAGUGGGGAAUAUUGGACAAUGGACCAAAAGUCUGAUCCAGCAAUUCUGUGUGCACGAUGAAGGUUUUCGGAUCGUAAAGUGCUUUCAGUUGGGAAGAAGAAAGUGACGGUACCAACAGAAGAAGCGACGGCUAAAUACGUGCCAGCAGCCGCGGUAAUACGUAUGUCGCAAGCGUUAUCCGGAUUUAUUGGGCGUAAAGCGCGUCUAGGCGGGUUCAUAAGUCUGAUGUUAAAAUGCGGGGCUCAACUCCGUAUUGCGUUGGAAACUGUGAAUCUAGAGUAUCAGAGAGGUGGGCGGAACUACAAGUGUAGAGGUGAAAUUCGUAGAUAUUUGUAGGAAUGCCGAUGGAGAAGUCAGCUCACUGGAUGAAUACUGACGCUAAAGCGCGAAAGCGUGGGUAGCAAACAGG